AUUUUAGUAUAAGUAUGCCCUAUGCAGUAUUUAGGAGAUAUUUAUGCUAAAA
rnacentral:pre_miRNA from 1 species